rnacentral:lncRNA from 1 species
CGUCAUCACCGCCGUCCGAGUCUUCUACGGGAAGCGCAUCUCCUUCUUCGUCUCCCUCCUCGUCGUCCUCACCAGCCAGGUAGAGGUGACAUCAACGUGCUGCAGUAAUAACAGUACAAGGUGUCAUGUACACUCAUGUUCAUGAACUUGAGCUUCAUUUUGUAGGUGCUGGGAUUCGGGUGGGCGGGAAUAUUCCGGCGGUAUCUGGUGGAGCCGGCGGCGAUGUGGUGGCCGUCCAACCUCGUGCAGGUCUCCCUCUUCAGGUAAUAAGCAAAUAGUAAUUCACAAUAAUUUACUCUCCACAUGUGCUAUAAAUCUGAUUAUUCAGAUAUAGCUUGCCUAUGAUUGGUUAAAAGGAGUUGAAUUGCCACUUGUAAAGUAAUCUUUCCACCAGUAGAAUACAUUUUUUUUGCGUCGCAUGAUGUGUGCAGCCAGUUGCUUGCAAUUGAUGUGUUAAUAAGGUACAGCUAAGUGCUAGACUACCCAAAGAUAACCAACCAACCACCUUCCCAAAUCUCAAAACCAACGUCAACAAAAAAAAAGAUACUUUGAACUUUGAAGGACAAAUAAGGGUUUUUAUUAAGCUGGUGUUCAAGUCGUAUGUUGUGUGAACAGCACUGAAUACGAUGGCACUGCUAUUCAGCAAUAUGCUAAUUAUAUAAAAAAUAUUAUCUGUCCUAUAUCAUGGUUUUGUCAUUUUCAUUCAUAAUAAGCAGAGAUAUAUUGGCACAUCAUGAAUUGUCUAAAAAGUAGAUAUUGACAUAAUGACUCAAGCGAACAGGAAUCAUUUACCAGUCAAUUCAAUAAUAAAACCCACCCAGCAUCAUCUUCAUCUGAAUUCUACGCAACAAUUAGGAGAUUUAGGCGACUUGGACACUCAGCUAUGCAAGUGCAUGCUGCUGCAGAAAACCAGAAUUCCGUGUAUUUGGAGAUAUCCUGAGUAAUAAAAGAAGCAGUCAAUCAAUUUUGACAGAUAAAAUUCAAAGAAAGAAAACAAGAUAUAUAAAAUAUCAUAUCACUUCAAUUAUAGACGAAGAGCAGCUAUUAAAACUAUAACAAGAUUUUUCGUCCCAAACCAAGGCAUAACAAUUUUCCAUUUACGACCAAGGAAACAAGAUCAGUUACAACCAGCAACAAGCAUCAACUAAACCUUAUACAAUAUCAAGAUUCAUUUGAGUAAACCCGACUAGACAUUUUAAAACAAGAUGUUUACUUCCCUAGAGGCUUCAAUGAUUUGUCAGAAAAACAUGGAUACAAUUUGUCUGCAAAUAAAAAAAAAGGUUCAGCAUUUUGUUGAGAUGACACUUAUAAAUCAUAAUAAGGCAUAAAUCUGUGUUGCUCUGCCAAUGAGUGAAUUCAUCUAAAACUUUCAGUGGCAAUCUGAAAAGUGAGCUUAAUAGCCAUACUGGACACACUUGCAAAUGCAGAAUCAAAUUAGCAGUAAAAUAAUAACUUUCUCCGUAGUCAAAGGAUGGCUAAAAAAAAACUACCAUAGAAAAGUGAAUAACAGAUUUGCUGCACAUGUUCAUCAGGGCACUUCAUGAAAAGGAACGGAGGAGCAAAGGCGGCAUGACACGCACCCAGUUCUUCUUGGUAGCAUUUGUGUGCAGCUUUGCCUACUACAUUUUCCCAGGCUACCUAUUCCAGAUGCUCACUUCCCUCUCCUGGAUUUGUUGGAUCU